rnacentral:misc_RNA from 1 species
AGUCGUAACAAGGUAUCCGUAGGUGAACCUGCGGAUGGAUCAUUAACAAAGGUGUUUUUGAAGUUGUGUGAACAGUUGGAGGAGGUGGUGGUGGUGGUGGUAUUGGGUGGUACUGGGUGGUACUGGGUGGUACUGGGUGGUAUUGGGUGGUAUUGGGUGGUAUUGAGUGGUGUAACCUUGGUCUAACCUUGGUCAACCUCACUCAACCUCACUCAACCUCACUCUCCCAACCUCACUCUCCCAACCUCCACCACUCCGUCCCUAUAAUGUAUACAAACUGAUGUCUGCUAGUUUCAAACUAAAACAACUUUUAGCAACGGAUCUCUUGGCUCUC